UCUCCGUUGGUGAACCAGCGGAGGGAUCAUUACAGAGUUCUCACAACUCCCAACCCUUGCGAACCGUACCCAUUCUGUUCUCGUUGCUUCCGGCGGGGGGGACGGGGGGGCCGGAAACGGCCUCACCGCCCCGCAUGCCGGGGGCGUCGGGCCCUAUGAACCUUUAUAUCUCAACCACCUCAAACAGUCCGCGCAAACAUACAAAAUAAACAAAACUUUCAACAAAGGAUAUCUUGGCCCUGGCAUCGUCGAAGAACGCAGCAGAUCGGAAGAGCACAC
rnacentral:misc_RNA from 1 species